AGCAGUGUGGUAUAGUGGUAGGGAGCAGGGUUAGUGACCCCAAGGUUGCUGGUUCGAUCUCCCUGCCAUGGCCC